rnacentral:rRNA from 1 species
GCCCAUGUUUAAUUCUUCAUUACUUUUCCCCCAGAGCCUAACAAAUAGUAUAUAGGUCUGAUCUCGGAAGCUAAGCAGGGUCGGGCCUGGUUAGUACUUGGAUGGGAAACCACCUAGGAAGACCAGGUGCUGUAGGUG